GAGUUUGAUCCUGGCUCAGGAUGAACGCUGGCGGCGUGCUUAACACAUGCAAGUCGAACGAAACACCUUAUUUGAUUUUCUUCGGAACUGAAGAUUUGGUGAUUGAGUGGCGGACGGGUGAGUAACGCGUGGGUAACCUACCCUGUACAGGGGGAUAACAGUCAGAAAUGACUGCUAAUACCGCAUAAGACCACAGCACCGCAUGGUGCAGGGGUAAAAACUCCGGUGGUACAGGAUGGACCCGCGUCUGAUUAGCUGGUUGGUGAGGUAACGGCUCACCAAGGCGACGAUCAGUAGCCGGCUUGAGAGAGUGAACGGCCACAUUGGGACUGAGACACGGCCCAAACUCCUACGGGAGGCAGCAGUGGGGAAUAUUGCACAAUGGGGGAAACCCUGAUGCAGCGACGCCGCGUGAGUGAAGAAGUAUCUCGGUAUGUAAAGCUCUAUCAGCAGGGAAGAAAAUGACGGUACCUGACUAAGAAGCCCCGGCUAACUACGUGCCAGCCGCCGCGGUAAUAC
rnacentral:rRNA from 1 species